UGCUGGCAUAGCAGCCACUGUCCAAGGGGAGUUAUUUGAGGACAUUCUGAGACAGCAGCUCAUGUAUGUGGACAUUCAGGAUGCGUUCUCCAUCACUAAUUCCCCCCAGAUGAAACCCAUUGAUGCCAUUCCUGACUGAUUUCAGGGUGGAUGAGGAGUUUCUCCGGCACUCCCAGAAGAAGCGGCACUGUCACAUCACUGCUGUAAAAAUAGAGCCUUCUCAGUGGGAUUGCUGCUUCAGACUGGUCCUAGUGAGCCUGUGGGCACCUGGCAGAAGUGGGAUGAGCAUUGCUAUGUGCAGAGCUCACAGAUGGAGUGCUGGCACUAAGCCUUGUGAAAGGAAUCAGGCUGCAAGGACCUAUCUGUGGGGAUGCAGAACAGGUUUCAUUCAGGCAGCCCAUGCAAAAGGCAGUUCUCACGUCCAAAGACCCCUAGGCCACUCAGCAGGCUGCUGAACUCACGUUGCUCAGGCUGGAGAAAGAGGCACAACCCCAAAGCAUGUAUGUGGCACUGUGGGUGAGGAAGAAGAAAUUCUUCCACAGUAUUCGUACAUUAUAAAUAUGGCUGCCAAAAGGCAAGCUCCCAAAUGCUUGGGGUCCACAUGUGCUAUAAAAGCAGCGGAGCAUCUUGGCAUGGAAAAGCAACAUCAUACGAAGGAAGCCAAAGUCUCUGCAGGUCACAGUGUCUGCAGUGGAGAUGAAAGCCCUGGGCUGCAAAGUGGUACCUAUCAGCUGCAUCUGCCACAGGACAACGUGUUUUGCUUUGAAAACGACCCCCUCCAAGGAAACAUGCUGGGUAUACAAAUGCAGCGUUUCAUUUGUUUAAGGCACAACUGCAAAACCAAACAGUUCUAAGUCACAGAUGUCUUUAACGAAAAACAGCUAUUGGAAUGCUCCUCGUACCGUAAGCAAUGAGUCUUCUCUGUCAUGCUUUUAGGAAACAUAACAGUUUUGACCGAUCAAGAUAUUAAUCACUUGGCCUCCUAACGGUUCAUCUGAGGGCAGCUACGAAUGUUAGCAUGUUGUGCCGACAGCUCGCCAAGCGGUACACACACAGAUGUCCCAUCUUUGCUCCUCUGAGGUCCUACAAUGACAGGCUCUCCUCUAAGAUACCAAUGAAGACUUCAUUUGUCCCAGACUGCUUCCGCUCAUUCAGUCUUUAGUCACUUACCAACUUGUUGCUGCGGCUGCAAAGCAUUCACAGCACUAAGAUGUCAGUUCCUGACCCCAUACCACAGCCCUGGAAGCCUGGAUGACUGGCUGGGGUGAUGCAUUGUCCCAAGGUGCUGUCGUUGGUAGAUGGUCACACACACUUCUGUGACAAACUGUAAGGUUUGCCUGCAUUCAUUUGCUCCCCUCUUCACUUGGAGGAAAUCUGCCUGUGCUCUGCAGCUCCAGCCCUGAGAGCCUUCGUUUUAAGGCUUAAAGCUGGUGUGCAACAAAACCAACAAUAGCACCUGGCUUUUCUUUUU
rnacentral:lncRNA from 1 species